GAACUGCGAUAAGUAAUGUGAAUUGCAGAAUUCAGUGAAUCAUCGAGUCUUUGAACGCACAUUGCGCCCCCUGGCAUUCCGGGGGGCAUGCCUGUCCGAGCGUCAUUGCUGCCCUUCAAGCCCGGCUUGUGUGUUGGGUCGUCGUCCCCUCCGGGGGACGGGCCCGAAAGGCAGCGGCGGCACCGCGUCCGGACCUCGAGCGUAUGGGGCUUUGUCACCCGCUCGAUAAGGACCGGCCGGGCGCCAGCCGGCGUCUCCAACCUUUUUUUCUCAGGUUGACCUCGGAUCAGGUAGGGAUACCCGCUGAACUUAAGC
rnacentral:misc_RNA from 1 species